rnacentral:rRNA from 1 species
GACGAACGCUGGCGGCGUGCCUAAUACAUGCAAGUCGAACGCUUCUUUCCUCCCGAGUGCUUGCACUCAAUUGGAAAGAGGAGUGGCGGACGGGUGAGUAACACGUGGGUAACCUACCCAUCAGCGGGGGAUAACACUUGGAAACAGGUGCUAAUACCGCAUAACAGUUUAUGCCGCAUGGCAUAAGAGUGAAAGGCGCUUUCGGGGGUCGCUGAUGGCUGGACCCGCGGUGCAUUAGCGAGUUGGUGAGGUAACGGCUCACCAAGGCCACGAUGCCUAGCCGACCUGAGAGGGUGAUCGGCCACACUGGGACUGAGACACGGCCCAGACUCCUACGGGAGGCAGCAGUAGGGAAUCUUCGGCAAAGGACGAAAGUCUGACCGAGCAACGCCGCGUGAGUGAAGAAGGUUUUCGGAUCGUAAAACUCUGUUGUUAGGGAAGAACAAGGACGUUAGUAACUGAACGUCCCCUGACGGUAUCUAACCAGAAAGCCACGGCUAACUACGUG